UAAAACCAAUGAACAGCUGCAGAGAGUGGAGACCCGGCAAAGCAGACAAAUGAAUACUGAAAGGGAUCCCCAAAGGAGGUGCAAGGAUCCGGGACUCUAGUGUCUGCCAGAAGCUUCAGCCACCUUCACAGGUUAGAGCUCGCCGUCCAUUGCGGAGGUGAAGACCGGAUGGGAGCUGCUGGAUUGAC